UACGUAGGGUGCAAGCGUUGUCCGGAAUUAUUGGGCGUAAAGAGCUCGUAGGCGGUUUGUUGCGUCGGCUGUGAAAUCCCGAGGCUCAACCUCGGGUCUGCAGUCGAUACGAGCAAACUAGAGUGUUGCAGGGGAGACUGGAAUUCCUGGUGUAGCGGUGAAAUGCGUAGAUAUGUGGAGGAACACCGAUGGCGAAGGCAGCCCCCUGGGUCAAGACUGACGCUCAUGCACGAAAGCGUGGGGAGCAAACAGG
rnacentral:rRNA from 1 species